UUCACUAAUCAAAUAAAAUGGUGAAGAAAAAAAAAUUAAUUAUAGCAAACCCAAACAAUGAAGAGAAGUUGUGUGUUUUAUAGGAAUUUUAUUUCUUGUUAAAAACUAUGUCUUUUCAUUAUAUAUUAGUUAGUAUUUAAAUUAAAAAGAUGUAAUUAUUUAAAUGAAAAAUUGUGACUAUUUAUAUAUGUGUCAUUUCAAAAUAACUACCUUUAAAUUAAAAAAUAUGACUAUUUAAAUUAAAUAGUUGUGACUAUUCAUAUAAGUAUCAUUUCAAAAU
rnacentral:lncRNA from 1 species